UACGGGGGGGGCAAGCGUUAAUCGGAAUUACUGGGCGUAAAGGGCGCGUAGGUGGCCAACUAAGUCAGACGUGAAAUCCCUCGGCUUAACCGGGGAACUGCGUCUGAUACUGGAUGGCUUGAGUUUGGGAGAGGGACGCGGAAUUCCAGGUGUAGCGGUGAAAUGCGUAGAUAUCUGGAGGAACACCGGUGGCGAAGGCGGCGUCCUGGACCAAUACUGACACUGAAACGCGAAAGCCAGGGGAGCAAACGGG
rnacentral:rRNA from 1 species